rnacentral:rRNA from 1 species
AGGGUGCAGGGCGGAUGCCUUGGCACUAGGAGCCGAUGAAGGACGUGAUAAGCUGCGAUAAGCUUCGGGGAGUUGCACGUAAACUUUGAUCCGAAGAUUUCCGAAUGAGGAAACUCACUUAGAGUAAUGUCUAAGUAUCAUUAAGUGAAUACAUAGCUUAAUGAGGGGAACUCAGGGAACUGAAACAUCUAAGUACCUGAAGGAAGAGAAAGAAAUUCGAUUCCGUAAGUAGCGGCGAGCGAACGCGGAUUAGCCCAAACCAAUAAAGUUUUCUUUGUUGGGGUUGCGGACAUAUCAUAACGAAGAGGUAUCGUAAUUGAAGAGGUUUGGAAAGACCCACCACAGAAGGUAAUAGUCCUGUAUGUUAAACGAGAAGACUUCAGAUAUGAUCCAGAGUACCACGGGACACGUGAAACCCUGUGGGAAGCAGGAGGGACCACCCUCCAAGGCUAAAUACUACCUAGUGACCGAUAGCGUAUAGUACCGUGAGGGAAAGGUGAAAAGAACCCCGGGAGGGGAGUGAAAUAGAACCUGAAACCCUGCACUUACAAGCUGUGGAAGCACAUUUCUUGUGUGACCGCGUACUUUUUGUAGAACGGGCCAACGAGUUACGUUAAGUAGCAAGGUUAAGCACUUAAGGUGCGGAGCCGUAGCGAAAGCGAGUUUUAACUGAGCGUUCAGUUACUUGACGUAGACCCGAAACCGGGCGACCUACCCAUGAGCAGGAUGAAGCGAAAGUAAAAUUUCGUGGAGGUCCGAACCCACGAGCGUUGAAAAGCUCGGGGAUGACUUGUGGGUAGCGGUGAAAUUCCAAUCGAGCCCGGAGAUAGCUGGUUCUCCCCGAAAUAGCUUUAGGGCUAGCCUCAAGGUGAGAGAUACGGAGGUAGAGCACUGAAUGUCCUAGGGGGUAUUGCACCUACCGAAGACUAUCAAACUCCGAAUGCCGUCAUCUUAUACUUGGGAGUCAGACUGUGGGUGAUAAGAUUCAUAGUCGAAAGGGCAACAGCCCAGAUCGUCAGCUAAGGUCCCUAAAUGUAAGUUAAGUGGUAAAGGAUGUGGGAUUGCACAGACAACCAGGAUGUUGGCUUAGAAGCAGCCACUCAUUCAAAGAGUGCGUAAUAGCUCACUGGUCGAGUGAUCCUGCGCCGAAGAUUUCCGGGGCUAAAACUUACUACCGAAGCUACGGCAUCAGUAAUGAUGGGUAGGGGAGCUUCCCAUACGGGUUGAAGCAUGACCGUAAGGACAUGUGGACAGUAUGGGAGUGAGAAUGUUGGCAUGAGUAGCGAGAUGUGGGUGAGAAUCCCACAGGCCGUAAACCCAAGGUUUCCAGGGGAAGGUUCGUCCGCCCUGGGUUAGUCGGGACCUAAGCUGAGGCUGAAAGGCGUAGGUGAUGGACAACAGGUUGAUAUUCCUGUACUACCGAUAACCGUUUGAGAGAAGGGAUGACACAGUAGGAUAAGCUAAGCACACUGUUGGUUAUGUGUGCCCAAGCAUUGAGGCAGUCAAAGUAGGCAAAUCCGCUUUGAUAAUGCUGGGAUGUGAUGGGGAGCGAAAUUUAGUAGCGAAGUAGCUGAUUUCACACUGUCAAGAAAAGUCUCUAUCGAGGUUAAAGGUACCCGUACCGCAAACCGACACAGGUGGGUGAGGAGAGUAUCCUAAGGCCAGCGAGAGAACUGUUGUUAAGGAACUCGGCAAAAUGACCCCGUAACUUAGGGAUAAGGGGUGCCACCAUCAGGUGGCCGCAGAGAAUAGGCCCAAGCGACUGUUUACCAAAAACAUAGGUUUCUGCUAAGUCGCAAGACGAUGUAUAGGAGCUGACGCCUGCCCGGUGCUGGAAGGUUAAGGGGAUCUGUUAGAGCAAUCGAAGCAGUGAACUUAAGCCCCAGUAAACGGCGGCCGUAACUAUAACGGUCCUAAGGUAGCGAAAUUCCUUGUCGGGUAAGUUCCGACCCGCACGAAAGGCGUAACGAUUUGGGCACUGUCUCAACAACAGACUCGGUGAAAUUGUAAUUCCGGUGAAGAUGCCGGAUACCUGCGACAGGACGGAAAGACCCCAUGGAGCUUUACUGUAGCUUGACAUUGGGUCUUGGUACUACAUGUACAGGAUAGGUGGGAGGCUUUGAAACCAGGACGCCAGUUUUGGCGGAGCCAUCCUUGGGAUACCACCCUUGUAGUACUGGGACUCUAACCAUAGGCCAUGAAUCUGGUCUUGGGACACUGUCAGGUGGGCAGUUUGACUGGGGCGGUCGCCUCCCAAAAGGUAACGGAGGCGCUCAAAGGUUCUCUCAGUACGGUCGGAAAUCGUACGUAGAGUGUAAAGGCAAAAGAGAGCUUGAUUGCAAGACAUACAGGUCGAGCAAGGAUGAAAAUCGGACUUAGUGAUCCGGUGGUUCUGCGUGGAAGGGCCAUCGCUCAACGGAUAAAAGCUACCCUGGGGAUAACAGGCUUAUCUCCCCCAAGAGUCCACAUCGACGGGGAGGUUUGGCACCUCGAUGUCGGCUCAUCACAUCCUGGGGCUGUAGUAGGUCCCAAGGGUUGGGCUGUUCGCCCAUUAAAGUGGUACGCGAGCUGGGUUCAGAACGUCGUGAGACAGUUCGGUCCCUAUCCGUCGCAGGCGUAGGAAAUUUGAGAAGACCUGUCCUUAGUACGAGAGGACCGGGAUGGACGUACCUCUGGUGUACCAGUUGUUCUGCCAAGGGCAUGGCUGGGUAGCUAUGUACGGAAUGGAUAAGCGCUGAAAGCAUCUAAGCGCGAAGCCAACUUCAAGAUAAGAUUUCCCACCGCAAGGGUAAGACCCCAGAAAGACUAUCUGGUUGA